rnacentral:piRNA from 1 species
UGCUGAUGGUGUCUGUCCCCGGGCUGU